CUAAGUGUGAUAAGCAAGUAAGAGAAAGACAAAUACCAUAUGAUUUCACUCAUAUGUGGAAUCUAAUGAACAAACUGAACUAACAAGCAAAACAGAGACAAACUCACAGAUAGAGAGAAGGAUGACAGCUAAAGGGAAGGUUUCGGUGUGGAGGGAUUGAG